CCUACGGGGGGCAGCAGUGAGGAAUAUUGGUCAAUGGGCGCGAGCCUGAACCAGCCAAGUCGCGUGGAGGAUGAAGGUUUUCGGAUUGUAAACUACUUUUGUUAGAGAAGAUAAUGACGGUAUCUAACGAAUAAGCACCGGCUAACUCCGUGCCAGCAGCCGCGGUAAUACGGAGGGUGCAAGCGUUAGUCGGAAUCACUGGGCGUAAAGAGCGCGUAGGCGGGAUAGCAAGUCAGAUGUGAAAUCCUAUGGCUUAACCAGAGAACUGCAUUUGAAACUGGUAUUCUAGAGUAUGGGAGAGGGAGGUAGAAUUCUUGGUGUAGGGGUAAAAUCCGUAGAGAUCAAGAGGAAUACUCAUUGCGAAGGCGACCUGCUAGAACAUAACUGACGCUGAUGUGCGAAAGCGUGGGGAGCAAACAGGAUUAGAUACCCUAGUAGUC
rnacentral:rRNA from 1 species